rnacentral:lncRNA from 1 species
CUCUCUCUUUACAAUUCACACAACAUAUGCGAGUUUCGACAUUCUCUCUCUACCUCCAAUUUAUGUUUCGAUAGUAGUUCCAUAUCAAACUCCAAAUUUGCUGCAUUUGCAUUGUGCAAUCUCUCUCUAGAUUCAUCAUCUGUGCUUUGAGGCAUGAAAUCUUUCGCAAUUCCUAUCAAAAGACCUGCUUUUCUCGACCCUUACCAAAAUAGUAUUCAAUCAAAUUUUGCUGAAGCCACAUUUGAUUCGAUGCAUUUGCAUGUCGAUUAGCAUAUUUGGUAAAAGGGAAUUCAGAAGUUCAGAUCUUUCUCAAGCAUAGAAAGGUCUUGAAGCUCCUUUUAGUGAUAAGAGAAUAUGAUGUUUCAACUAUUGGCAAUACUUCUUAGAGAAAGAAACGUUCAUUAAUUCACUAGGUGACAUUGGAAAGUGACGAGGUUGAGGGGUACUGUGAGAGCCACUAAGGUGGUAGGAGCUUGUUGUUUAUAGAAAUAGUUGUGACGCUAAAAAAGUGUGCUUAGAAGAGGCACUAUAAUGACAAUGAUUAAGUUCAAACGCAACAAAAUGAUGCAAUUUUUGUAGGAUCAGGUCAUUGGGUAAGGUUUAUCAGAGCUGGUUGGGUCAAUGGCGAACCAGAUGGUUGUAUCGGUCAACUUCAAAAGAGAGAAGAGAUAGAGAGUAGAGAGAGAUCCUCUGAAUCUGUGUUACCACUGCUGUGUGUUUUUUGGUCUCUAUGGAGUGGGCAGCCACCAUGAAAGCAGUGGAUGUUGGCCUUUUUAUAUGGGCUUCUUUGUGUUAUGAGCAUUUCAAAUCAGUUUGAAAGAUAAAUUUAGCUGGGCAUGUUUGGGUUUUGAACAAUUAAUCUUCAGUGAGAAACUUUUAGUUGGGCGAGGUUUGAGCAUUCAUGAGAGAGAGACCCCAUGAUCACUAGAAACUAAAAGGGCUCACUGAGGAGGAAGGAGAUCGAGGGAGAGAGAAUCACCAAGGAGGAAGCAAAUAGAUGAAGGAGAGAGAUGAAGAGAGAAUCAUCAAGAAGGAAGCAAAUAGAGAAAGAGUACAAAUUGGAACACAAAGGAUCACUAAAACAAGAGAUGUGAGCUGCUCUGUUAAAAACCAAAACCCCAAAAUCAAGGAUGAAACUCGAAAGAGAGAAUGUGGAAACUUGUGUGUGAUGCAGCCUUGAUAUUCGGUUUUUCAAAAACCUAAUUUGGGCUCAUUUCAAUUUUUGAAAAACUGAAAAAUAUUUGGUCAUUUUUUAAAAAAUCAUUAUGAAAUAUAAAAAACAAACAUACAAGUAAUAACAUAAAGUUUUAGAUAUUUUCGUAAUAACAAAAAAAUAAAACAGAUAAUUAUGUAAUUCUCCUUUUUAGUUUUACAAAAAAUUUAUGAAUAUGAACCAAACAAAGAAGCAUAAAGAGGUUAAACUCUUUUGCCUACUGGAGGGCCUUAUCCCUAGAGUUAAGGGUUAGGGUGAGGGUUAGGAUAGGUUUGAGGGAAUUCAAUAGGUCCAGCAAGAUGGGAGGAUGAUGAGAUGGAUUCCAGGGUUUAACAGGUGAAUUUUAAGGUUCAAAAUUAAGUUUGAACCUCAGGAGGUUAGGAAUACUGUUAGGGGGGGUGGGAAAGACAUGCCCUAUUCUUUUUUUCCAAUAG